GUGCCUGGACGGUACCGCUACCAGCGGCCACUGACACUAGCAAUGUCUGAGUGAUACUGACGGGGUAGCCUCCCACUUGCUCCGCCUUCCAGGAAAGAGGAAGAAUGUGUAGGGCAAAGGACCCAGGACCAAGCCCUGAUGCGCUGAGCCCUGGAACACUCCACCAAUUGAAGGUGUUCACGACUGUUGGACCUCGAGAGGGACACUGAUGAACCCUGAAAACAAUCAAAGCCAGAUAAGGAAAUGUUUAAUAAGGUCCUUCUCAACCCAACCCUGUCCCUGUGUUCUAACCCAAAGAAACAAUCUUCACUAAUCGCCCAGUUUUUAAUCCCUCUGAGCUGUAACAGAAUAAAGAGAAGGGCAGCCACCUGCAGAUAGCAGCUGCUUCAGAAUAUCAGAUCACGCUGUGUAAGGGCCCUUUCACCUCCUCUCAAUGGCUUUCGGAUGCAUGAAGAAAAGUUCAAGUCCUACACACCUGGAAGAAUCUAGAACCAUUCCCUAAGAAAGCUUGGUUAUAUUUCAUCAGCAGCAGUGUUUAAAGGGACCGUGAAUAAAAGCAGGGUAAAGUUCUUCAGUGGAAAUAACAGUAGCUGCUAAAUAUUGCUGAGAACUUCCUGCACACCACGCUGAGCACUGGAUGCCCUCUCCCACAUCAUCCUGAAACAACUGCAAUGAGAAAAUGGGCUCAGAGGUGUGAAGUCACUCAUCAAAGCUGUACAUGUGUCGGUGGUAGCUGUCAGGCCCCACAGCCCCUGCACCUGACAACUACGUUAUUAGAAUGAUCAUCAUUUCAACCUGUCACACUACUGGUCUUUGAGAAGAGAAGUGAAUUAGCAUUUCUAAAGUGAAAUAUUUCAUCUCUGAAACUACAGAAACACAAUCAACCACCUAACACUCCACUCCGCCAAAGGUGAGGGUGAGCAGAAUGGAAGGCUGCAGUAUUCAAUACACCAGUGGAAGCCUAAGAAUUAGCACAGCAGUUUUAAGGUCUCUGCCAGUGAAAGGAGAUGUUUAUUUUCUCUCAAAGCUACAAUGGCCGAAAGAGGGGUGUACCUCCUAGAGCCUCAAAUUUUUCACAAUGGCUCCUACAUUCUAGCUGCUGACAGUAACUUCAAUCUUUAAAUACAGCCAGCUAGGUUGCUACUUUAAGUCUGACAAUGAAAUUCACAGGAGACUUUUCUUUUUAGUAUUUCAAUAGUAUUUUCUUUUUCACUGACUCAGAGAGACAAAGGAAAAAAUGUCAUGUUUGCUUCUGCCUUUCAUCAGCAUUCUAAUUUAUUACAAAGAAAACGGGUGGAGAAAAGAAGGUCAAUCUACAAAUGCUAGUUAUUAGACUAACCCUUAACCGCUAUUUGUUUUUCAGCCUACAGUGUUCUGGUUGAACACUGUGAUUCUUGGAUUAAUCAUUUUCAUCCAUGUUUGAGUUUGCACAGCCUCACCAGUAGUGUGUGUGCAUGUGCUCUAACUCCACCCCACUCGCAAAAGCCUUACAGCCAAAAUCUGACACUCUCCAACUGAAAAGGCCUUGCCGAGUGAGUCGUACAGCCUAGCUGAGAAGCAAGGAACCCUGGAUCUCUUCUCCACGUGGUGAGGAUACCAGCUUCCCAGUCUCACCCUGAGCUACAGCCAACAUCGAGGAAGCAUAACCUUUUGGAGCUCUCGUUUGUGACACUUCCUGCUGUGUUCCUGGCACAUCUGAACACACUGAAUUUUUAACUCAUAUCUGAGAACUUGUUUUUGUUGUUGGAUACUUGCCUUUUCCUCCUAUGGUGGGCUUGCGAGUGAUAUCCUUGGAUAAAGGGAUUCUUUAUACAUUUUUUAUGGAAUGUUACAUCUGUCCUUUGCUUAAUCUCAGCCCUGCUCUAUCACUUAUGACACUCUCCCCCUAACAAAAACAAGUUUAUCCAAAUUUACACCUCCUUCACAGCUGAUCAACAACUGUGAGAGAAGACGCAUAAAAGUUCAUAAUAUAUUGGAUUGUAUCAAUUUCACAGCAAUACGUUUACAGGAAUAGAAGUGAAAACAAAUCACCAUUAAUAGAUUGUCCUUAUAUAAAUAGAGAAUGGGAGAGGAGAGAAGAUUGUUCUCUUCUGCUGAGAGAACAGACAGGAAGAAUAGGUAGGGCAUGACUCUACAAACCUCAAAAGUGGUUGUCAUUGUGGGCUUAUAGGACACAUGGUUGGCCCUUCUCAGCUCCUUGAUAGUUUCAGCGGGCAUGGAUUUAGAAAACCCGAGGCCACUCCAGGUAUUUGUGGGUGUUCUGACCUCCGUCACCACCGGUUUCUUUAACAUAGCUUUGGAAAACAGAACAUAAAACAAAUGCUUGAUAUUUUUAAUGAAUUUCUUAA